GUCUCCUUGGCACAGCGGAUAGCGCGGCUCCCUCCUAAGGAGCAGGUCAGAGGUUCGAAUCCUCUAGGGGACA
rnacentral:tRNA from 1 species